AUGAGGACUACCCAGAUGUUGCUUCUGUCCCUAGUCUUUCUCAUGCUAGCAUCAGAUGUGGUAGUGGAGGCAUCAAUGGAUGAUAGCAUGAAACUGAUCCACACAUGUGUGCACAAAAUUCUCCCAUUGACAAAGCCAUGUGAUAGCAAAACUUGUGAAAAACAAUGUGUGAAACGUACAAGGCAAACCAAAUCUAGCAUGUGUGUCCUUGAGGGGUGCCGGUGCUCGUUAUGCAUAGAUCCGGCUCCAACCAUCCAUGAUAAUGAACAAAUGGGUACCAAUUAG
rnacentral:rRNA from 1 species